CCCCUCUCUAGAGGCAUUAGAGGCGUGGCUGCUGUGUCACAUGGGCAUCAGUAGGUGGUAAGAAGAGAGGUUAUGUCUAUGAUCUGUGUUCUGACCUAUGAACAUCGGAAUUAGUAGCCUAACAGU